AGCCCUUUGUAGACAUAAAGGUCUUGCCUGCCCAGUGGCUAAAGCUAAACGGCCGCGGUAUCUUGACCGUGCAAAGGUAGCAUAAUCAUUUGUCUUUUAAAUGGAGACUUGUAUGAAUGGCGGAACCUUCUUCAACUGUCUCCCUUUCCACUCCCCCAAAUUUCUAUUUCCGUGAAGAAGCAGAAAUAAAAGAGAAAGACGAGAAGACCCUGUCGAGCUUCAGCUUAAAGGUGAAAAACUAAACAUCAUCCAAAAGCUUUGGUUGGGGCAACCAUGGAGAAAAUACAUCCUCCAGAAAAAAUAGAAGAAAACCCUUCACUAUUUUCAACCUCAAAGAACCAGAAACUGGUAAUCGGAAAAAGUUACCGCAGGGAUAACAGCGUAAUCUUCUCUAAGAGUCCUUAUUGACGAGAAGGUUUGCGACCUCGAUGUUGGAUUGGGGCCUCCUUUGGGUGCAGAAGCUCUAAAAGGUUAGACUGUUCGUCUAUUAAAGCCCUACG
rnacentral:rRNA from 1 species